rnacentral:rRNA from 1 species
AUGGACUCGACGAACGGCGACAACAUGGCGGCCGGCAUCAUGCGGCUGCUCAUGCUGAUGGCGAGGGGGCCCUCGGCCGCGGACGCAAUGCCGGGGGCGGGCGGCGGGCGGGUGACGGUGCAUCACUUCAUCCUCGGCGGCGACCUCUUCUCCGGCGAGGUCGGCGGCGGCGUCCCGCCGGCGUCCAAGGCGGCGAUCGCCUCGCUGAAGGAGGUCCAGGGCGCCGGCGGGGACGGCGAGGGCGAGGGCUCGCUGGGCGACUGCGCGAUCUGCCUCGACGCGUUCGGGGCCGGCAAGGAGAUGCCGUGCGGGCACCGCUUCCACGGGGAGUGCCUGGAGCGGUGGCUAGGCGUGCACGGGAGCUGCCCCGUCUGCCGCCACGAGCUCCCCAAGGCGGACCCGGCGGCCGAGGAGCAGCAGCAGCAGAGCGGCGACGGCGAGAGGCGCGGGCCCAGGGGCGCGGUGCUGGUCAGCAUCGUGACGCUGCGAGGAGCGGAGAGGCCGCAGGAGGAGGAGCCGAGGGAGGAGCCGAUCAACAUCCGGAUCGAGGACGUGGAUUAG